CUUUUUUUUUCAUAAAGGAAUAAAAGAUUGACUUUCCUUUUUCUCUCCAAACACAUACCCAUAAUCGGCAGCCACUAUUCGGGCAAAUUUCCGAAGAAGCUUCAUUCGGCAAGGGUCCUUCUUAGGUGGAGUCACACAUAUACUUUAACUUUUCUACAAGAAAAGAGAAUGAUUAAGAUUCAAGUGUGGUCCUUGAACCAAUUCAAGAGGAGACUUUGCUUUCUUGAUUUGGUGACACUAACAAGUUUCAAGGUGAGAAGGAUCUAGUGCACAAGCUACGGAUCAGUAGGAGAGCGCGUGAUGGUGGUGGCCUAGAUUACUAUUUUGCUGUGUGUGUCUGAAUAUAUAUAUAUAUAUAUAUAUAUAUAUAUGGAUGUAUAUGUAUGACUUGUUGGUUGCAUGCCACCGUUGUGUGAAUACGUUGUUGUUAUGGGGAGUUUUGUUUAGGCUUUGGAUGUGGAUUGUGUUUGGUUGGCCUGGAGUGGUGUCCCGUGACUAUUGUGUGUCGGAUGACUAUGAUGGUGUUAGAUGUUAUUUGGCUUGUUGUGUGUUCUGUUUACAAGUUGGGUUCCCCAAUUUAUGGGGAGAUGUUGCUGAAAUUUUGAGUGAAAUCAUAAAGGGUUGUGAUGUAGCAUAUGAGGUGCACGUUUGUGUU